rnacentral:ncRNA from 1 species
AGCGGCGAGCUGAAUCCUUUGCAGACGACUUAAAUACGCGACGGGGUAUUGUAAGGGGUAGAGUGGCCUUGCUGCCACGAUCCUCUGAGAUUCAGCCCUUUGUCGCUCCGAUUCGU